GUAUCCAAGGGGCCUCUUUUGGAGGGCAGUGUACCUGUCCAGGCAGGCGGAGGAGAGGCACAGAGAGAGAGAGAGAGAAAGAGUGGGGAGUCAAGUGCCCUAUAUGUGCUUAGCUCUCUCUGUCUCUCUCUCUUUCUCUCUCACGGCGCUGUGGAGUCUGUCCUUCCUCUCUCUCUAAGAUGUGGAAAAGGAAGGGAAAGGAAAGUAAUUUGUAAAAGACGGCCAUAGGAUAGAAGCGGAGAGAGUUUGGUGGUGCCUGAGAAAGUCUAGGGUUGGUCUGGAUACUGUGCUGGUUAUUUCCAUCGUUGUGGUCGGCGAAUUUUUCUUCCUCUCUCGACGGCCCACUGGUGUAGAGAGAGAGAGAGAGAGAGAGAGUGGGAAAGGGAGACGAGGGAAUUACAGUGACUGUGAGAGUGGGCAGGCAUCAGAGGCGGAAAGGCAUGGCUAUGAAUGACAGAAUCCAGCCGGGCACUUACUUCCAGUACUCCCCUUCCGGGAUUCAAUCAUCGCCGUACAACACAAUGAGGCCGUCGACGGCGUCGAUGGAUCGAGAUGGCAACAGAUAUUUGACCGAAUUGUUGGCUGAGAGACAGAAACUGGGGCCAUUUGUGCAAGUUCUCCCUCUUUGCAGUCGCUUGCUGAAUCAAGAAAUUGUUCGUGCAUCUGGACUGGCAUCAAAUCAGGGCUUUGGUGAUGAAAGGUUUGAACAUGGAAGUCCCUUGCGAUCAGGAGGCUUGCUCUCAAAUGGGGCCCCAAUGGACUUAGAGGGAUGGUCAGGCAUGCAGACAGAGGAAAAUGGAUCCCUUCAGAGGAUGAACAUGUUGCAAGCUUCACCCAUGGGCUGGCAUGGAGCGCCUGGGGUCCCUACCACCCCUGUUGUAACAAAGGUUAUACGAUUGGACGUUCCUGUUGAUAAGUUCCCCAGUUAUAAUUUUGUGGGUCGACUACUAGGACCAAGGGGGAACUCCUUGAAAAGGGUUGAAGCUACAACACAGUGUAGAGUGUACAUAAGGGGAAGAGGUUCAGUCAAGGAUUCUGUAAAGGAAGAAAAACUGAGAGAUAAACCUGGCUACGAACACCUUAAUGAGCCAUUACAUGUUCUCGUGGAGGCUAAGUUGCCCGCUAAUGUGAUUGAUUCACGACUAAAUCAAGCUGUUGCAAUAUUGGAAGAUCUCUUAAAGCCAGUGGAUGAGUCCUUGGAUUAUUACAAGAAGCAGCAAUUGAGAGAACUUGCUUUGCUGAAUGGGACCCUAAGAGAGGAGAGCCCGCACAUGAGUCCCAGCGCCUCCCCCUUUAACAGCUCUGGCAUGAAACGUGCUAAAACUGGACGUUGACUUUACAAUGUUCUUUCAGUAACAACUGCACAUUGUCUGUGGUGUUUGCUGUUCAAUGGCUGGAAUUAUUUGGCAUAGGAAUAGGAUAGUGCUUUCUGCGCUGACAUGCAUGAACUGAAAGGCCGCAUCAGGAUAUCUCUCACCAGAAAAUGUGCUGAACACAAGUGGUUUGGCAUGGCUUGCUAUGUCAGUGGAAGAAGUUGCUGGACAUGGUGGGAGCCAAGAAGUAUGAAAGAUUCUGAUGGGAAGACCCUAUGUGAGGAAUCCGUGAAGGCAGAUAAGUUCCAACUGAUGUUAGUUUUGUUUAGGAGCCUUAAAUGGCGUGCUAGGGGCUUGUUCAACUUAUUGAAUGCAGUCUCUUGCCAAAGCAGUCGAUGAAAAUAAAGCUGGCAACUUCAGAGGUGCAUUUCUUGGCAAAUUUACUGGAUAGAAAUGGGGAGGUGCUAGACUUGUAAGGAACGAUCUUACCUUUUGAUUUAGUUCACAUGGACGGUUUGAAGAAAAAGAAGGAAAAAAGGAAAAAAAAUAGAUAGGACAUAUUUGUCAUUUAGUAUUAAUUUGCCAAUCUUUUUCUUUUUUCUUUUUCCUUUGUGUGUGGAAACUAUGAAAGGCCAAAUUUAUUUCUUAUAUAUAUAUAUAAGUGAGUGAA